CUGCUUCUUCCAUACCUUCAAUAAUGAACUUGAGGUUUACUGGUAUGUCCUAAGUAAAAAAAUCAACAAAGCGUAGAGCUUAAGACCCUGGAGGAAAGUAGUCGUCCAUCAGUUUAUUGCAGGAAUAUUGUUCUCUGUGGUUAGGACCAAAUCCCUUGCUUUGUCUCUUCUUUGAUCAGGGACUAACAAAUGAUUUGGGGUGGGAGGGAGGAGUUGAAAAUGGUCUUUUAUUGAAAGUGAAAAUGUUUCACAAUUUUUUUAUUUUGCUUUCGAUGAAAUCUGAAGAUGGAAAUACUUUCAGGUUUUGGUUUUUGCCCAAAGAAAUACAGCACUUUUAAUAUGAAGAAUGCAACUACAGAAAAUGCUUAUUUUUAUUUUGUUGUUUCUGAUAUGGCCAUCAUGACCUCUCUUUUUUUGUCUGUAGGCCUGACUUGACAUGAGUAAUUGGUGAGGUCUUAUUUCUUGGGAGACAGGAUUAGGGAGGUAAAUGGAUCAGCCUUAUUUCUGGAAACAGAAUGUCUGCACUAGCCAAGAUAAGGGGAAAACAUGCAGGGAACCAUUUACAAUGGACAAGAUAACAAUGGAUAAAAUAAGCCUGGAAUGUAAGAUGAGAUAAAAAGUAAGGGCUAGUCUACACUGGCAAUGUUAAAGCGCUGCCCCGGCAGUGUUUUUUAACGUGGCUUGUGUAGUCGCAGCAGAGCACUGGGAGAGAGCUCUCACAGUGUUCUAAAAAAAAAAAACACCUCCACGCUGGUGCACUGUCUACACUGGCUUUACAGCGCUGAAACUUGCUUCACUCAGGGAGGUGUUUUUUCACACCCCUGAGCAAGAAAGUUGUAGCGCUGUAAAGUGCCAGUGUAGACAAGCUCUUAGGCUAUGUCUACAGUGGCAAGUGAAGGACAAAACUUUUGUCGUUCAGAGGCAUUAAGAAAACACCCACCUCUGAAAGACAAAAGUUUUGCCGACAACAAGUGAGAACAGCACUUUGUUGGCAGGAGAGCGCUCCUGCCAACAACGCAAAUGCUGCUCAUUGGGGGUAGAAGAUUUUUGUCAGCAGCAGAGUCAACACUGGCUACACUGCGCGCCUUUUAGCGGCACGGCUGUAGCAGCACAGCCAUGUCACUAAAAGCCGUGUAGUGUAGACAUAGCCUAAGUAAUGCACUGACAGAGCAUGCUGUACAUGGACAGGUUCCUACAAAGUGACCAAGCCAGCCUCAGAACAUAGAAUCAUAGAAUAUCAGAGUUGGAAGGGACCUCAGGAGGUCAUCUAGUCCAACCCCCUGCUCAAAGCAGGACCAAUUCCCAACUAAAUCAUCCCAGCCAGGUCUUUGUCAAGUCGGGCCUUAAAAACCUCCAAGGAAGGAGAUUCUACCACCUCCCUAGGUAACGCAUUCCAGUGCUUCACCACCCUCCUAGUGAAAUAGUGUUUCCUAAUAUCCAACCUAGACCUCCUCCACUACAACUUGAGACCAUUGCUCCUUGUUCUGUCAUCUGCCACCACUGAGAACAGCCAAGCUCCAUCCUCUUUGGAACCCCCCUUCAGGUAGUUGAAAGCAGCUAUCAAAUCCCCCCUCAUUCUUCUCUUCUGCAGUCUAAACAAUCCCAGUUCCCUCAGCCUCUCCUCAUAAGUCAUGUGCUCCAGACCCCUAAUCAUUUUUGUUGCCCUCCGCUGGACUCUUUCCAAUUUUUCCACAUCCUUCUUGUAGCGUGGGGCCCAAAACUGGACACAGUACUCCAGAUGAGGCCUCACCAAUGUUGAAUAAAGGGGAACGAUCACGUUCCUCGAUCUGCUGGCACAGCCCCUACUUAUACAGCCCAAAAUGCCGUUAGCCUUCUUGACAACAGUAGCACACUGUUGACUCAUAUCCAGCUUCUCAUCCACUGUGACCCCUAGGUCCUUUUCUGCAGAACUGCUACCUAGCCAUUCGGUCCCUAGUCUGUAGCAGUGCAUGGGAUUCUUCUGUCCUAAGUGCAGGACUCUGCACUUGUCCUUGUUGAACCUCAUCAGGUUUUUUUUGGCCCAAUCAUCUAAUUUGUCUAAGUCCCUCUGUAUCCGAUCCCUACCCUCCAGUGUAUCUACCACGCCUCCCAGUUUAGUGUCAUCUGCAAACUUGCUGAGAGUGCAGUCCACACCAUCCUCCAGAUCAUUAAUAAAGAUAUUAAACAAAACCGGCCCCAGGACCCUUGGGGCACUCCGUUUGAUACCGGCUGCCAACUAGACAUGGAGCCAUUGAUCACUACCCAUUGAGCCUGACGAUCUAGCCAGCUUUUUAUACACCUUACAGUCCAUUCAUCCAGCCCAUACUUCUUUAACUUGGUGGCAAGAAUACUGUGGGAGACCGUAUCAAAAGCUUUGCUAAAGUCAAGGAAUAACACAUCCACUGCUUUCCCCUCAUCCACAGACCCAGUUAUCUCAUCAUAGAAGGCAAUUAGGUUAGUCAGGCACGACUUCCCCUUGGUGAAUCCAUGCUGACUGUUCCUGAUCACUUUUCUCUCCUCUAAGUGUUUCAUAAUUGAUUCCUUGAGGACCUGCUCCAUGUGAUGCAAUGUAUAAUAAAUGCAAUGUAAUGUGUAAAAAUGUAUAUAAAGGUAGAGAUUUGCUUUUUUAUCUUUAGAAGUGUGGUAUGCUCUGAACCUAUGUCCUGUGCCAGUGGUUCUCAAACAGGGGUACGUGUACCCCUGAGGGUACGCAGAGGUCUUCCAGGGGGUAUAUCAACUCAUCUAGAUAUUUGCUCAGUUUCAUUACCAACUACAUAAAAAAACACUAAUGAAGUCAGUACCAACUAAAAUUUCAUAGAGACAAUGACUUGUUCAUACUGCUCUAUAUACUGAAAUGUAAGUACAGUCUUUAUAUUCCAAUUGAUUUAUUUUGUGGUAAUUAUGUGGUAAAAAUGAGAAAGUCAGCAAUUUUUCAGUAAUAGUGUAUUGUGACACUUUUGUAUUUUUAUGUCUGAUUUUGUAAGCAAAUACUUUUUAAGUGAGGUAUAACUUAGGGGUACACAAGACAAAUCAGACUCCUGAAAGGGGCACAGUAGUCUGGAAAGGUUGAGAGCCACUAUGCUUAAACCUGAUCACCUAAAGUGCAGUUUAAUUGUAUGCCAAUAAAGACAUCUCAGUGACAA